GCAGAGGUCGCCUAGCCUGGUAGGGCGCGGGCCUUGAGAGCCUGUGUGAGUAAUCACACGAGGGUUCGAAUCCCUCUCUCUGCGCCA
rnacentral:tRNA from 1 species